UGUUGUGUAAACUGCUCAGAAACCCCCUCAUUGGCAAUCUAGCUAGGAAAGCCAUCCAUCCUCUGAAUGCUCUAGGUCUCUAGUUUGUGGCUGUAAAGUUUCUUGAGGAUGUGAUUAUCCUAAAGGUCACCACAAGGUCAUUUUAUGCAGAGAGGUCACGUU